UACGAAGGGAGCUAGCGUUGUUCGGAAUCACUGGGCGUAAAGCGCACGUAGGCGGAUGUGUCAGUCAGGGGUGAAAUCCCGGAGCUCAACUUCGGAACUGCCUUUGAUACAGCACGUCUUGAGUCCGGAAGAGGUGAGUGGAAUUCCCAGUGUAGCGGUGAAAUGCGUAGAUAUUGGGAGGAACACCAGUGGCGAAGGCGGCUCACUGGACCGGAACUGACGCUGAGGCGCGAAAGCGUGGGGAGCAAACAGG
rnacentral:rRNA from 1 species